rnacentral:rRNA from 1 species
CUGGCGGCCUUAGCGCGGUGGUCCCACCUGACCCCAUGCCGAACUCAGAAGUGAAACGCCGUAGCGCCGAUGGUAGUGUGGGGUCUCCCCAUGCGAGAGUAGGGAACUGCCAGGU